AACACCAGAGGUAAGUUCUGAUCAUAACACAUAAGAAACACAAUUCAUUUCUCGAUUCUCAUAUUAAUUUUUUUCAGUAGUGAGAUGGAAAAGCUUUUUCAUCUGAUUAUACUUUCUGGUCUUGUUUCCAGUCAGAAUAAUUUAGACCUAUUAGAAGAGAAUUUAGCAUUAAAGGGAACGGCUACACAGAGCUCCAUAUAUUCUCCUCACACAGCUGGAAGAUCUAGUGAUGGUCUUUGCGGACACUGCUCCAUUACAGCAUAUGAAAUGAG